GUACGUGGAAAGGAGCAGGAAGGCAUUCAGAGCAAGGACUGGCAAAGCCAGAUCUGAAGCUUUUGCAAGGUUUAGAGCAGCGUGUGGACAAUUGGGGCUCACCUGGGCUUUUUCAGGCUCUCUCAACCCAAACAAAGGAGUAAGGUUUUGUGGCUGAAGUCCAGAGGGCCCAGCUGGAUCUUGCUUCUCCAGCUGUAAGGGAUGCGAGCGUUCAUCAGCGAGGAGUACCACAACGCUCCAUUAUGUGUGCCACUUAGUCUGGACCCUGGGAACACUGACUGUGACCAAAGAAACGCUGUUAACUGUUAAACUGCCUGCUCGGGACUCCUUGCAUUGCU